rnacentral:rRNA from 1 species
CGGCGGACGGGUGAGUAACGCGUGGGCAACCUGCCCCUUACUGGUGGAUAGCCGCGGGAAACUGCGAGUAAUACACCAUAAUGCAUCGAUGAGACAUCUCAAUGAUGCCAAAGAUUUAUCGGUAAGGGAUGGGCCCGCGUCCGAUUAGCUGGUUGGUGAGGCAGCGGCUCGCCAAGGCGACGAUCGGUAGCCGGCCUGAGAGGGCGAUCGGCCACAUUGGAACUGAGACACGGUCCAGACUCCUACGGGAGGCAGCAGUGGGGAAUAUUGCACAAUGGGGGAAACCCUGAUGCAGCAACGCCGCGUGAAGGAAGAAGGCCUUCGGGUCGUAAACUUCUGUUGAGGGGAAAGAUCAUGACGGUACCCCUUUAGAAAGCCCCGGCUAACUACGUGCCAGCAGCCGCGGUAAUACGUAGGGGGCGAGCGUUAUCCGGAAUUACUGGGCGUAAAGCGUACGUAGGCGGUUUUUUAAGCGCAGGGUUUAAAGCAAUGGCCCAACCAUUGUUCGCCCUGCGAACUGGGAAACUUGAGUACAGGAGGGGAAAGCGGAAUUCCUAGUGUAGCGGUGAAAUGCGUAGAUAUUAGGAGGAACACCGGUGGCGAAGGCGGCUUUCUGGACUGAAACUGACGCUGAGGUACGAAAGUGUGGGGAGCAAACAGGAUUAGAUACCCUGGUAGUCCACACCGUAAACGAUGAGCACUAGGUGUCGGUCGCGAGAGCGAUCGGUGCCGCAGCUAACGCAAUAAGUGCUCCGCCUGGGGAGUACGCACGCAAGUGUAAAACUCAAAGGAAUUGACGGGGACCCGCACAAGCAGCGGAGCAUGUGGUUUAAUUCGAAGCAACGCGAAGAACCUUACCAGGGCUUGACAUCCCUCUGACGUAUCGGGUAACGCUGAUACUCUCUUCGGAGCAGAGGUGACAGGUGGUGCAUGGUUGUCGUCAGCUCGUGUCGUGAGAUGUUGGGUCAAGUCCCGCAACGAGCGCAACCCCUGCUGUCAGUUACCAUCAUUCAGUUGGGCACUCUGACGGGACUGCCGGGGACAACCCGGAGGAAGGCGGGGAUGACGUCAAAUCAUCAUGCCCCUUAUGUUCUGGGCGACACACGUGCUACAAUGGCCGUCACAGAGGGAUGCGAAGGAGCGAUCCGGAGCGAAACCCCAAAGGCGGCCCCAGUUCGGACUGCAGGCUGAAACCCGCCUGCACGAAGUCGGAGUUGCUAGUAAUCGCGGAUCAGAAUGCCGCGGUGAAUGCGUUCCCGGGUCUUGUACACACCACCCGUCACACCAUGGAAGCUGGGGGUACCCGAAGUCGGUUGACAAAUAGCUGCCGAAGGUAAAACCAGUGACUGGGGUGAAGUCGUAACAAGGUAACC